GGGCAUAUGUAUUCCUUCUCUGGU
rnacentral:siRNA from 1 species